GAUGAAUUGGGAUAUCUCUUAGAUUGACCCAUAGGCGGAACCAAAGCAGCCAAAUGUAGCUAUUAAACAUCAUAAACCCAUCUUUUUAGGUAACAACCAGACAUGGGUGUCAUUUAGGCUAAUAAAAUAUGUUUAAUAGGACUGAAUUCGUAUUAAACGUGAUUACAAUUCAAUAAAAACAUUGGAAAAAGUGAUAACAAGGCUAUAUAACGUUUCCUUCAUAGCUAUGAAAACAGUGAAUAAAUUAUAUAUAGAAAGUGACAUUAUCACUGAUUAUAAUCUAUCACAAGUUUAAGCACUUGUGAUAGAUCAAAAAACCAUUGAAGCUGUAUACGCUGUGAAAUGAAUCUCAUGUACGCGCAUCUGCGCUCUGUUGCUUAUGCUGGGAGAAUUCGCGGAAUUCAGUCAGAGAAAACACUCAAAACUGAUGAGGUUCAGCGAUGACUCAUCUGAAAUGCGGUUCAACAUGAGCAGAUCUUAAAAUAGCUCUCUGCCCACAUACACUGGAAUAAAAUGAUUAAAAAAUGGUCUCAAUUUACAGAAACCCCUCUGAAUUUGAACACAGUGGUGGCAGAUUGCAUAUAUUAUAUUGUAUAUAUUCACAAUUUUAUGAUAAACACAUAUAAUCCAAACUAAGACUAAUAAAGGUUUUUGGCUGCAUUACAUGUUUUGAUCUGCACAUCUGAGACAUAUUACAGUGUCGUUUAGCUAUGCAUGCUCACAGACACGUGAAAAUAGUCUAAUUUUGAAGACAACAACCGAAAUAAUUAGCUGUUCAGAGGAGUCAUUUCAAUCUUUAUGAUUCUCUUUGAUAAUUAUGUUAAUGUAAAGUGUGUAAUCAGUAAAAUAAAUGACAUAUUUAUAUUCUUGAGAGUGAGAGCUAUGUUUGGCGAGUUUGUGGUGUCAACUACUCCAAGAGGUAGUUGACACCAUCACUUCAGCAAGAGCACCGUAUACAAGACACGCUUAAACUUUGAAUUGGAACCUGUUCAACCCUGAGGCCCCAGACCGGCUAUAACAAAACUGUGGUUGAACCCUGGACCAGUGAGUUUGACUUAGAUUAUUUUCGUCUUUUCUUUUUUCACUCAAUGUGGUUUAAGAGGUGUGUAAGUUAAUUUGACUUGCAGCGGAGGAGAGAUGAUAGUGGUGCUAAUAUGGGAUGGAUCGUGUUGCCAUAGAACCGCUCAGUUCUCAGUCCAAGGACAUGAACAGCUCUAAGUAGAACUUGGAUGCAGCUGACAAGACAGACUCCAGUAAGAAUUCUCAGCGUUGAUUAAGCAAGUUCACAUUUAACCCAUCAAGAGUGGGAAUCAUCUUGGCAGAAAAUUUUGUAAUGGAUGAACCGACUGAUCUCAGGCCUUCCAUGUCCAUUUUUCAGACUGAUUAUGGCCUGCACCUGGACUAAGUGUAUGAAAAGCACUCUAUGUUUUAUUCAGCAGGUAAUGCUCAACUUCAGAAAAGGUGAAUUGACUCCUAAAAUUCAGUACUGCCAAUAUUGUGAACUCGGAGAGGAAUAAAACCAAAUAGUUUAGAUGCCAUUUGUUGUGAUUCUGAGAUAAACUGUUUUAUAUUAGUUUAACAUUAAAAAAAAAAAUGUUUUAUGGGGAAAUGUUUUCAAAUAAAAAAAAAAUCAUGUUUUUUUGUGUUUUUAAAUUAACAUUUGGAAUUGAAUUUAAAUAAAAAAAUUGCAUCAAUUUUCCUUCAUUUGUUUGCUUUUUUACAUUUUCUAUUUUUCUAGUGAAUCAUUACCCUAAUUUUUUUUAAUGGAUGAAUUAAAAAAAAAUUCACAAUCUCAAAUACAUAA